rnacentral:lncRNA from 1 species
UUGUUGUUGUUUGUUUUUUUUUUAGCGAGUGUUUCUAGCUUUCUGUCUUCAAAAACCAAAACUCUAGCAACCAAAGAAGCAUCAACUUGAAAGUCAACCCUGAGCCUUUCUAGCUUGAAGGGAGGGGACCGUUUAUGAGGAAAUGGCUGCUUGUCUUGUCUGCUUCUACACGUCUGGACACAACAGCGUAUGGCUACACUCUGGAGUUGUGUGUUCCCUGCAGCUGGUUUGUCAAGUGAACGCUGGAAGGUCGUAGCUCUACGUGUGUCUCUCCUUCCCUUGCUCCGCUCAAAGACCUGCACACUCAGCCCCAUGUCACCAGAAGGAGCUCCCUGCCUUCAGCUAUUAGCCUUCCAUUAGCUAUCCCACUGUGCCCUGGGAUAGCAUUUUGAGUCAAUAUUCCCAUUCAGUUUUCCCACAUCGCAGUCUGGAGACGGCGGGGCACAGGCCUUCUUCCCUCCAGCACAAAUUUUUAACCCCAAGGAUGGAUUCUAGCAUAUCCCAAGACUCUCACCGGAAUCAGGCUGGCCUAGAACUUGUUGUGUAGCUCAGGCUGCCCCCAAA